CUACGGGAGGCACCAGUCGAGAAUCUUUUACAAUGCGCGAAAGCGUGAUAGAGCGAACCAGAGUGCUUCUCAUUGAGAAGCUUUUGCUAGGUCUAAAAAGCCUGGCGAAUAAGGACUGGGUAAGACGAGUGCCAGCCGCCGCGGUAAUACUCGCGGUCCAAGUCGCAGCCAUUUUUAUUGGGUCUAAAACAUCCGUAGCUUGUUUGAUAAGUUUCUUGUGAAAUUCUGUAUCUUAAGUAUAGAGCGAGUGAGAAAUACUAUCAAACUAGAGACUGGAAGACGUAAGAAGUACGUUCGAAGUAACGGUAAAAUGUGUUAAUCUCGGACGGACUCACAAUUAGCGAAGGCAUCUUACGAGGACAGUUCUGACAGUAAAGGAUGAAGGCUAGGGGCGCAAAACGGAUUAGAUACCCGCGUAGUC
rnacentral:rRNA from 1 species